AGACCAGGGGCGACUGGUCCAGCUCGUCCAUGGUGCCUGGAGCGGGCGGAACAAUGAGCGCGGCGCCGGGGCUGCGCCUCUGCCGGCUGCGGGGGGAGGGCGCGGGCUGCGCUGCGGGACCGGCUCCACGCCCUGGCGCUUCCUGUUCUGGACUUGUUUCUAACAUCCCAUGGGAGUUUGUGUGGACUGACCUCAGCUGAGCCAAUUUUUCUAUUUUCUCCCCUCCGUUAUCAUCUUGAAAAAUCAAACCAGUCCGUUUUUACAGCUCAUGUUUGCUGUUACGGAGUGCCUAGGCAUCCCUGUCAAGAACCAAGGCUCACUGGGUUAUGCAAUGUCCUGGCAUGUUAAGAAGUCAUCAGCUCCUCCUACACACAGUUCACAAGGCACAAUGUAACAGGUGGAUGAAAGACAUGUUAUGUGGGGGUGUUUUGGAAAAAUGAGGCAGCAACAAGCCAAGGAGGACAGUGGAAAAGCAGCAGUCAUUUUGCCUCCUACCUUUAUUGGCUCAUUGUGCUGGGGGUCUGUUUCCCAGUCCUUCUCCACGUGGCAGAGAUUUCUGUGGCAGUCGGCUGGUAACACGAGCGAGUGCCAUCCAAACCGCAAGCAAGCAACGCCUUCGCUGUAAUUGCCACCACAGGUACGCUGGAAUUGCUACAACCAAGCAAUCAUUUGUAGCAUAGUGAAACAAGGUACGGCUUAGUUUGUGCUUGUCGGAGGGUCUGUAGGAGUUUUCACAACAGAGAAUCAACAGCGCUUUUAUUUUAGCAACACGAGCUGUUCAAGUGAUGGUAUUUAAGGAAUGAGGUCACAUAUUCAAGCUGUUUAGAUAUAACAGUGUUCAGAGAUGUCAGUCAGGCUCCAAGCAGAUAAAAAGUGCAUCCUCUUAUCACCCAGGCAUUUCUAGUGCUGCUGCGCUUCUCACGUUUAAUAAAGCACAGCGUGGAAAAUGAACUCCGUCCUGGCACAGACGGAUGCUUCUGAAGCCAUUUACAAUAUAUAGCACCGCUGGAAAAUAUGAAUUAUAAGACUUCAUGCACUCCGUGGUUCGAGGGAAAAAUCGAUGUUCGUACCUGGAUUGGAAGUUUUUCUCCGUAUUAGGUCGGAUUUCAGUAGGAUGGAUUUUGUAGCAGGGAAUCCUGGGCAACAAAACACCUACAUUGGUAAAUAACACUAUAUUGGUAUACAAAACACUAUAUUGGUAAACUUACCCAGUAGUGUAAAGCACCAAUCUGAAUCUGUAACUUCAUCCAGGUACAUUUAAUUAACACAGAAGAUUCGUACCAAGGUUUUUGGCCAAUGGCAGAAUAUGCUGGACAUUCUCAUGCGUCUACAGAAAGAUCAGCGGUUAGUCUUAAAUUUUUAUGAAACAGUUAAUUUCAAAUAAAUUUCCCGUGACUUCUUAAACGCCAACCAGCUUCACCCAUACACACAAGCAACUUUUACCCAAUGAGAUAUAUCAGCCUGUGUUGCUUAACAACAAUAUUUAUACGGAUAAAGAAUUGGCUCCAGAGAGAUGACCUGAAUUAACCCCGAGAACAUGCUUCCACUCUAGCUCCCAUUAUUUCUGGGCAUCCCCAAGGGACUGUAACACUAACCCUAGCAAGAGACCAGAAGCCUAAGAAGAAUUAAGUACAACUGAAAGAUCACAACUUCAUACAGUUCCUCGCAUUAUCCUGUUUAACAUUUGCUACAGUGAACAAAAAUAGAAAAAGGUGUAUAGGAAAAAAUAUUCAGCGGGGACUAGAUUCACAGCAGUCAUGCAUGCUACGUGGUAAAAUCCUUCAUUUCCCAGUAAACCUGGGAGUUAUUACACUAAAAUCUGACCAAGUAAAACUAACAAUAGAGUAAUUCUUUCUCUCCUGCUUUUAACCUGGGCAGCAUCACCUGAACUGCGUGAUACUCAGUAUUAAUGCACCCUCAGCAAGUUUGCAGAUGACACCAAGCUGAGUGGUGCAGAGGAAGGGGCAGCCAUUCAGAGGGACCUGGACAGGGCAAAAUCAAACAGAGCCAAUUAUUUUCUGCUAGAAAAAGAUACUUUCACUGACAUGACUACAAUUAUUCAUGCUUGUUUCUGCACUUUAUCGUUCUUUUUUUUUCUUUCUGCCCAACAACAACAGACAUAGAUAGCUUUUGUCCUUUCCUCAUUACAAAAUAAAAUUAAAGCUUGUCUGAAAAAGACUGAGCUUUCUUCUGGGAGCUUUCUUGUUGCUGCUGUGGCACUCUUUGUUUUCUCCUUUGUUUAGUCUGCGUGUGGAGGCUGCUUACCUGAACCUUCCCCAAACAACUGUUACGACUCAGGCUAAACACAGAAAGCAAUUUGUACCUCAUCUCCCUGACAGAUGUACAAAUCCGUUAUCUUUGUUGAAAAAGAGGAAAACAUGUUGCUAGCUACUGAAGAUAUCUUGCUGAUAGACAAACCUGUCUCCCUAGGCACUAAGUCCAGGAUAGCUCCCUGCUCCGAAGGCGCUCACUGGAUUCUUCCCUUUCUUUGGAACUCUCCCUAUGGUGGAAACUGAUGCAAGGAUGCAC